UUGGACUCCAAAAGCCAAAACUAAAACUCACGGAUCUGUUUCUCUCUAUCUCUCCCUCACAUUUCUCUCAGCCUUUCCUUCGUUUCCUAACCCUAGCCGCACACAACACAACACUCACUACUCUCAUCUCAUCGCAUCAUUCAUCUCCAUCUUCAUCACCUUUGGCAGACAAUGUCAUCACCUUUGGCCUCUUCGUCGUCUCCCCAGUGUAACCUCUCUCUCUCUCUCUCUCUCUCUCUGUAUACUUGAUGGUUUUAUAAAUAUGGGUCUUCUUCAUUUCGUCUUUUUUCUAGUAGGUUCUGCGAUGGUGAUGAUGAUGUGUGGGUCUUCAUUUCGUCUUUUCUCUCUCUCUCUCUAUAAAUUAAUGGGUCUUCAAUUAGAUUGGGAGAGGGAUAUGUGGGUGUUGCUUCAAUUUUUCUACAGGUAGCAGAAUUCAAGGAAUCUUCUAAACGUGGAUCUUUCACAGCUCUUUCAAGUUCCCUUGGACAUAUACUCAUGCAGCUUCAUACAGGUAUUUUAUACUUAAUUCAACGUGAAAGUCAUGGUAGAUUGAUGGCAUCCUUGUUCAAGAUUCUCAUACACCUUGCUCACAAAAAUGGAUGAAUUUGAGUCAGACUCGAAGGUGGUGGUUGUUGCUGCAAUCUGAAGAGAGUGCAUCUACAGGAAUCUGAAGAGGGUGCAGCAUUAGAGUCUAAGAAAAUGAGCCAUAACACUCGCAUGGCUCUGAUAAAGUUCUUACAGAAAAAACGAUACGGCAGCCAUUGAUGCUUAUUUUUGGUUUGAUUUGUAUUAAUCAAUUGGCAGCCAUUGAAGCUUAUUUCUAUUUGUAUGCAAAUGUGGGAUUGUAUGUUGAACUUUGUUUUACUGGAAAUUUGGUUAACUUUCA